AUCGCUUCUUGGCCUUUUGGCUAAGAUCAAGUGUAGAAUUUACUAGAUCUGAAAGAGGCUUGUACACCUAGGUACCAGAAAUUAAUACCAAUAAUCUGUAUAUAACUAUACAGAUUAUUAUAUAACCUGCAUAUUUAUUACACUUCGAGUCUUCUGGUGAAAUGUA
ensembl:snRNA U2 U2 spliceosomal RNA